rnacentral:rRNA from 1 species
CCUACGGGAGGCUGCAGUGGGGAAUAUUGCACAAUGGGGGAAACCCUGAUGCAGCGACGCCGCGUGAGUGAAGAAGUAUUUCGGUAUGUAAAGCUCUAUCAGCAGGGAAGAAGAAAGACGGUACCUGACUAAGAAGCCCCGGCUAACUACGUGCCAGCAGCCGCGGUAAUACGUAGGGGGCAAGCGUUAUCCGGAUUUACUGGGUGGAAAGGGAGCGUAGACGGCUGUGCAAGUCUGAAGUGAAAGCCCAGGGCUCAACCCUGGGACUGCUUUGGAAACUGUGGAGCUAGAGUGCUGGAGAGGUAAGUGGAAUUCCUAGUGUAGCGGUGAAAUGCGUAGAUAUUAGGAGGAACACCAGUGGCGAAGGCGGCUUACUGGACAGUAACUGACGUGGAGGCUCGAAAGCGUGGGGAGCAAACAGGAUUAGAUACCCCUGUAGUC